AAGGGGGCGUUUUUAGAAUUCCAGAAACCAAAUCGGGGGCAACCCGUUUUUUUGGGUGAUUCAUGAUAACCUUGCAGAUCGCAUGGCCUUGUGCUGGCGAUGGGUCGUUCGAAUUUCUGCCCUAUCAACUUUUGACGGUAGGAUAGAGGCCUACCGUGGUGAUAACGGGUAACGGGGAAUUAGGGUUCGAUUCCGGAGAGGGAGCCUGAGAAACGGCUACCACAUCCAAGGAAGGCAGCAGGCGCGCAAAUUACCCAAUCCUGAUACAGGGAGGUAGUGACAAA
rnacentral:rRNA from 1 species